AUUGAACGCUGGCGGCGUGCUUAACACCUGCAAGUCGAACGAAGUGGCGAACGGGUGAGUAACGCGUAAUCAACCUGCCCUUCAGAGGGGGACAACAGUUGGCAACGACUGCUAAUACCGCAUACUGAAGGCGGGGAUUGCGUCUGAUUAGCUAGUUGGAGGGGUAACGGCCCACCAAGGGGAUGAUCAGUAGCCGGGCUGGGAGGAUGAAGGGCCACAUUGGGACUGAGACACGGCCCAGACUCCUACGGGAGGCAGCAGGGGGGAAGCUUCCGCAAUGGACGAAAGUCUGACGGAGCAACGCCGCGUGAGGGAUGACGGCCUUCGGGUUGUAAAGCUCUGUUAAUCGGGACGCGGUACCGGAAUAGAAAGCCACGGCUAACUACGUGCCAGCCGCCGCGGUAAUUC
rnacentral:rRNA from 1 species